GGAUUCCCCUAGUAACUGCGAGUGAAGAGGGAAAAGCUCAAAUUUAAAAUCUGGCAGCUUCGCUGUCCGAGUUGUAAUUUAGAGAAGCGUUGCCCGUGCUGGACCGUGUACAAGUCUCCUGGAAUGGAGCGUCAUAGAGGGUGAGAAUCCCGUCUUUGACACGGACUACCAGUGCAUUGUGGUGCGCUCUCAAAGAGUCGUGUUGUUUGGGAAUGCAGCACUAAAUGGGUGGUAAAUUCCAUCUAAAGCUAAAUAUUGGCGAGAGACCGAUAGCAAACAAGUACCGUGAGGGAAAGAUGAAAAGAACUUUGGAAAGAGAGUUAAACAGUACGUGAAAUUGUUGAAAGGGAAACGCUUAAAGUCCAGUCGCGUCGGCUGGGAAUCAGUCUUGCUUCUGCUUGAUGUACUUCCUAGUCGACGGGUCAGCAUCAGUUUUGACUGUUGGAUAAAGGCCAAGGGAAUGUGGCUCCCCCGGGAGUGUUAUAGCCCUUGGUUGUAUACAACGGUUGGGACUGAGGAACUCAGCACGCCGCAAGGCCGGGUCUCGUACCACGUUCGUGCUUAGGAUGCUGGCAUAAUGGCUUUAAUCGACCCGUCUG
rnacentral:sRNA from 1 species